UACGUAGGGUGCGAGCGUUAAUCGGAAUUACUGGGCGUAAAGCGUGCGCAGGCGGUGAGCUGUGUCCGAUGUGAAAGCCCCGGGCUUAACCUGGGAAUGGCAUUGGAAACUGGCUCGCUGGAGCGUGGCAGAGGGGGGUGGAAUUCCGCGUGUAGCAGUGAAAUGCGUAGAGAUGCGGAGGAACACCGAUGGCGAAGGCAGCCCCCUGGGCUAACACUGACGCUCAGGCACGAAAGCGUGGGGAGCAAACAGG
rnacentral:rRNA from 1 species